ensembl:lncRNA
CGCUAAACGAUGCACACCUGUAACUCACGUGACCCAUGGUUAUUAUUGAAACGAGAACGAGGGCGUCGUGCCUUUAUAAGACUGCGUUAAUGGUUCCGUGGAGUUAUCCCUUCCGUUGUUGUUCUUUGAUUGUUAAACAUGGCUUCAUUUGCAAAGGUGGUUGUGUGUGUCCUCAUUGCUUGUGUCUGUAAUGCAUUCGGUUUUCCGAAGAAAGAUGUGAACUUUAAGGCCUCUGCAGUUGACCGCCAAAGUGAUGAUGUGGUUGUCACCACAACACCCAAUCCCCACAACCAGACCACCUCUGCCCCUACUGAAGCUGGUGGUGGAGCAAGUGAAGAUGCUGUGGCUACUACCCCAGCACCUAAUCCACACAACCAGACAACUUCUGCACAAACUGAAGUUACUGAUGGGGCCAGUGAAGAUGCUGUGGACCGCCAAAGUGAUGAUGUGGUUGUCGCCACAACACCCGUUCCCCACAACCAGACCACCUCUGCCCCUACUGAAGCUGAUGGAGCAAGUGAAGAUGGAGCAAGUGAAGAUGGAGCAAGUGAAGAUGGAGCAAGUGAAGAUGGAGCAAGUGAAGAUGGAGCAAGUGAAGAUGGAGCAAGUGAAGAUGGAGCAAGUGAAGAUGAUGCAAGUGAAGAUGAUGCAGAUGAUGAUGAUGAUGCAAGUGAAGAUGCUGUGGCUACCACCCCAACACCAAAUCCCCCAACUACAUCUGACCACACUGCAGCUACCGAUGAUGCAAGUGAGGGUGCUGUGGCUGCCCAAACUGGAACUACUGUAUCCCAUACGACUGAAGUCUGAUUCGACUGCUCCUCUGGUCACAAUGACCUGUCUGGACUUUUUGCCUCUACAUGUUCACUGCAAUAAAGGACAGAUUUGUAUUUUUUUUUUAAUCAAAUGUUGUCUUGCCUUUUUCAAAUUGAGGCCUUGUCCUGUUUUGGUAGUGGAGAUAACUGACGCCUCUUUCCUAACGCACUACAUUUCUGGCAACUUAUAAUGCAUAGUGAACAUGUAAUAAUUCGGUGGUAUGAUCCCAGGAGAACAUUUUUAAGAAACAAAUCACAGAAUUGUGGUUCCUCGCCGUUUUUUUUUUAAUAUAAAUCGAGGCUUUCCUCAUAAUACCGCAAGAACAAAAAGGAAAUAAAAACUAAACGAGUCAAUUCCUCAAAAUGAUAUGAAUUGCUACUGCUGCACUCGUAAAACUUCUAACUAAACUGAAAUUAAAAACCAAACUGAAA